UACGUAGGGUGCGAGCGUUGUCCGGAAUUAUUGGGCGUAAAGGGCUCGUAGGCGGUUUGUCGCGUCGGGAGUGAAAACCUUGGGCUUAACUCAGGGCUUGCUUUCGAUACGGGCAGACUAGAGGUAUGCAGGGGAGAACGGAAUUCCUGGUGUAGCGGUGAAAUGCGCAGAUAUCAGGAGGAACACCAAUGGCGAAGGCAGCUCGCUGGAACGGUACUGACGCUGAGGCGCGAAAGCGUGGGGAGCGAACAGG
rnacentral:rRNA from 1 species